rnacentral:rRNA from 1 species
AUUGAACGCUGGCGGCAGGCCUAACACAUGCAAGUCGAACGCGUGGCGGACGGGUGAGUAAUGUCUGGGAAACUGCCCGAUGGGGGGGGAUAACUACUGGAAACGGUAGCUUAUACCGCAUACUAUCGGAUGUGCCCAGAUGGGAUUAGCUAGUAGGUGGGGUAACGGCUCACCUAGGCGACGCUCCCUAGCUGGUCUGAGAGGAUGCCCAGCCACACUGGAACUGAGACACGGUCCAGACUCCUACGGGAGGCAGUAGUGGGGAAUAUUGCACAAUGGGCGCAAGCCUGAUGCAGCCAUGCCGCGUGUAUGAAGAAGGCCUUCGGGUUGUAAAGUACUUUCAGCGGGGAGGCGUUACUCGCAGAAGAAGCACCGGCUAACUCCGUGCCAGCAGCCGCGGUAAUAC